GACGAACGCUGGCGGCGUGCUUAACACAUGCAAGUCGAACGGUAAGGCCCUUCGGGGUACACGAGUGGCGAACGGGUGAGUAACACGUGGGUGAUCUGCCCUGCACUUCGGGAUAAGCCUGGGAAACUGGGUCUAAUACCGGAUAGGACCACUGCCUGCAUGGGUGGUGGUGGAAAGCUUUUGCGGUGUGGGAUGGGCCCGCGGCCUAUCAGCUUGUUGGUGGGGUGAUGGCCUACCAAGGCGACGACGGGUAGCCGGCCUGAGAGGGUGACCGGCCACACUGGGACUGAGAUACGGCCCAGACUCCUACGGGAGGCAGCAGUGGGGAAUAUUGCACAAUGGGCGCAAGCCUGAUGCAGCAACGCCGCGUGAGGGACGACGGCCUUCGGGUUGUAAACCUCUUUUAGUAGGGAAGAAGCGAAAGUGACGGUACCUGCAGAAAAAGCACCGGCUAACUACGUGCCAGCAGCCGCGGUAA
rnacentral:rRNA from 1 species